AGUGAUCUACAUUUGCCCCCAGUCUCUUCAGGACACGAGUGGCACUCCCAUCAUCAACAGUGAAUAACCCAACGGCCAUAUGCUCGGGUGCGAUGAAAUUAUAGCCCAUUGUCCUCGAAUACUCAACGGCAACCUCAAAUACUCGCUUCGUGCUAAUAGAAAAUGGCACAUCUGUGGAUGAAGUAGUACCUCCCCCUCCACCUCUCUGUGUACUAGAAGCCGAAGCAUUAGCGUCAUCAGCAUCGGCAUCACUGCUCCAAAUGUUUCGAACAACUUCACGGGCUUUAUCAAUCUUAAGGCCAGAGCCAAGAAACCCAUUUGGGUCGCGAUCCUCCCCGAUUAAACCCAGCAAGAGAUGCUGGGUAAACCACCAUGUCCUUGCCCAAGGCUCUGGCUUCUUUCUGAGAAAAUAUCACCACCUUUAUUGCUCGCUCCGUAAAUCUCUCAAAAACUGCAGAAAUAGGAAGAAUUCUACGUUUUCUACGUGAACGAGAGCAUUUAAAAGAAAGGGGAUUAUGUGGGCGGCGCCUGUGUGAGAUGGAAAUGCCAAAACAAGAUGAAUAAGAGGAAGAGAUUAUGUUGUUAUUAGAACUAAAUGUUAACAGAGGAUCGAUUCUCUGUGAACGAGAUGGGUUAAGCGGACCCAAAUCCCAUCUCGAGUGAACUGAUAGAGGUGAUGAAGAUAAAACUUCCAUCUUCUUGUUUUGGGUUUCAGUGAAUAAUUACCAGGUAUGCUUGCUUAUAAAUAAAAAAUAUAAGCUUUCCCUCCAAUUGGGGUUUCUGAAAAAAA
rnacentral:misc_RNA from 1 species